rnacentral:snoRNA from 1 species
GGUCAAUGAUGAGUUUUGGCAUGUAUUAUCUGAAUCUGAAGCUGAUGUUUGUCAUCACUUUAGCUCUAGAAUUACUCUGAGACCUG